AUUUAAGUAGCUUAAUUUUAAAGUAUAGUAUUGAAGAUACUGGGAUAAGUUUUACUUCUUAAAUA
rnacentral:tRNA from 1 species